GGGAACGUGCCCUUCGGUUCGGAUAACUCAAGGAAACUUGAGCUAAUACCGGAUACCCCUUUUGGGGAAAGGUUUACUGCCUAAGGAUCGGCCCGCGUCUGAUUAGCUUGUUGGUGGGGUAACGGACUACCAUGGCGACGAUGAGUAGCUGGUCUGAGAGGAUGAUCAGCCACACUGGGACUGAGACACGGCCCACACUCCUACAGGAGGCAGCAAUGGGGAAUAUUGGACAAUGGGCGCAAGCCUGAUCCAGCCGUGCCCCGUGAGUGAUGAACGCCUUAGGGUUGUACAGCUCUGUUGUCCGGGACGAUGAUGACUGUGCCGGAAGAGUAAGGCCCGGCUAACUUCGUGCCAGCAGCCGCGGUUAUACAAAGGGGGCUAGCGUUGCUCGUAAUCACUGGCCGUACGGGCGCGUAGGCGGCCGAUUAAUUCGGGGGUGAAAGCCUGUGGCUCACCACAGAAGUGCCUUCGAUACUGGUUGGCUUGAUACCGGAAGAGGACUGCGGAACUGCCAGUGUGAGGUGAAGUUCGUAUAUGUUCGCAGGAACACCAAUGGCGAGUGUAGCUGUCUGGUCCGGUUCUGACGCUGAGACGCGCAAGCGUGAGGAGCAUACACGAUUAUGAUGCCCUGCUAUUCCACGCCAUAGACUAUGAAUGCCAGCCGUUGGACCUGCUCGCAUGUCACUGGCGCCGCUCACGCUAUACACAUUCCCCCGG
rnacentral:rRNA from 1 species